UGCAAGUCGAGCGGAUGAAGGGAGCUUGCUCCUGGAUUCAGCGGCGGACGGGUGAGUAAUGCCUAGGAAUCUGCCUGGUAGUGGGGGAUAACGUUCCGAAAGGAACGCUAAUACCGCAUACGUCCUACGGGAGAAAGUGGGGGAUCUUCGGACCUCACGCUAUCAGAUGAGCCUAGGUCGGAUUAGCUAGUAGGUGAGGUAAUGGCUCACCUAGGCGACGAUCCGUAACUGGUCUGAGAGGAUGAUCAGUCACACUGGAACUGAGACACGGUCCAGACUCCUACGGGAGGCAGCAGUGGGGAAUAUUGGACAAUGGGCGAAAGCCUGAUCCAGCCAUGCCGCGUGUGUGAAGAAGGUCUUCGGAUUGUAAAGCACUUUAAGUUGGGAGGAAGGGUUGUAGAUUAAUACUCUGCAAUUUUGACGUUACCAACAGAAUAAGCACCGGCUAACUUCGUGCCAGCAGCCGCGGUAAUACGAAGGGUGCAAGCGUUAAUCGGAAUUACUGGGCGUAAAGCGCGCGUAGGCGGUUUGUUAAGUUGAAGGUGAAAUCCCCGGGCUCAACCUGGGAACUGCCUCCAAAACUGGCUGACUAGAGUGUGGUAGAGGGUGGUGGAAUUUCCUGUGUAGCGGUGAAAUGCGUAGAUAUAGGAAGGAACACCAGUGGCGAAGGCUACCACCUGGACCACCACUGACGCUG
rnacentral:rRNA from 1 species